AACGAGAUAAUGCCCUUAAUUGAACACAUCCAGGACCAGUAGAACUUGGCUGCAGGAGCACAGUAUCCAGCUCUUAGAGUGGCCAGAUCAAUCCCUGGACAUGAGCCCCAUUGGAAAUCUGUGGUGGAUUAUCAAAAGUGGAUGAGAUCUCUGGCGUCAGCGGCAAGGCCUCAGGGAUUGGUCGGUCGAGUCCGGUACUCCUGCUGGGACUGGCUGUUCUUCUGAUCUGGCACUGAUGAGGAAGGAGGCGGGACCAAGGACCACCUGCCGACAGAUCAGCUGAAGGACCAGAGCAGCAGCCGCCAAUCACUAACCGAUCAUCAAUAACCUACUGCAACACAUCCUGCUUUUUUACAUGAAACAUUCAGAGCGUCUGACAGUUCGGCAGCAACCAAUUGACUGACUUCUAAUCAAUGAGCCUUAUCGGUUUCCAUGACAACACAUUCAGUUUAUACUUUUGUUUAUAUUGUGCAAUAAAUAGUUUCACAUAUAUGGCUCACAUCUGUGGUUAUUGAUCAAACAUCAGUGAACCAGAAUCAUAGAUUUACUCAAGUACUUAAGAACAAUUUU
ensembl:lncRNA